rnacentral:rRNA from 1 species
CCCUUAGAUGUCCGGGGCUGCACGCGCGCUACACUGAAGGAAUCAGCGUGCUAAAACCAUUGUCGAAAGGCAUUGAUAAACCCAUUAAAAUCCUACGUGAUUGGGAUCGGGAAUUGCAAUUAUUUCCCUUGAACGAGGAAUUCCCAGUAAGUGUGGGUCAUAAGCUCGCGUUGAUUACGUCCCUGCCCUUUGUACACACCGCCCGUCGCUGCCCGGGACUGAGCCGUUUCGAGAAAAGCGGGGACUGCUGCUGUCGGGGCUUUCGGGCCUUGGCUUCGGUGGAAACCGCUUUAAUCGCAGUGGCUUGAACCGGGCAAAAGUCGUAACA